GACGUAGGGCGCGAGCGUUGUCCGGAUUUAUUGGGCGUAAAGAGCUCGUAGGCGGCUUGUCGCGUCGGCUGUGAAAACCCACAGCUUAACUGUGGGCCUGCAGCCGAUACGGGCGAGCUAGAGUUCGGUAGGGGAGACUGGAAUUCCUGGUGUAGCGGUGAAAUGCGCAGAUAUCAGGAGGAACACCGGUGGCGAAGGCGGGUCUCUGGGCCGAUACUGACGCUGAGGAGCGAAAGCGUGGGGAGCAAACAGG
rnacentral:rRNA from 1 species